GUCAAACGUGUGACUCGCAUUGUUGCGAUCAAUCCCAAUUUAACAGACAGCAGCUCAAAAAGACCUUCAGGGAGUAGUGAAAGCUGACAGUGUCCUGGAAAAGUGUUGGACCACCACAAAGAGUUUCUGUCCUGUCUCGACAUGGAUCCAACAAGGCCCUGGAUCUGUACUGGAGUGAUUCUUCUGAAAGUUCUUCCUCCUAAACUGACAGUUGGUGUUUUGAUGAUGACGGUGGAGAGAAUGAUCUGACACGCCUUUUCAAAGUCCGUCGUAGUUGUUCGGCUGGGUUGAGAUCUGCUGACUGUGAGGGUCAUAGCAUAUGAUUUACAUAAUUUUCAUGCUCAUCAAACAAUUCAUUGCCAUCUUGAUCCAAAUUGGCGCAGCUCAGCGUUUAUAUAGAUCACUCUAUUGAUUGUUCCGUACAGUGUACCUGUCUGGAAACGUCUGGAUGUGGUAGUGUUUUUCCACAAAUUUUUCUUCCAACUGUAUGGAUUCAAUCCACAUUGCUGUUACACACUGGUUGAUUACACCUUUAGGAGCAGGUUUUAACAUUAAGCUUGUUGGUUUUUAAGCUGUGCUGUAAGAAAUGUUUAUGGUUAUGACAACAUAGGGUUACCCAUGCUUGAAGAAACGUGCCUAUGGAUUUGCAAAAAGUUUAGCAGAUAUGCAGUUUGUGUGUAUCACAUUAAUAUUGGAUGUUGCAAACUGAAAAAAAAAACACUGAAUUGAACAACA